AGAUUGAACGCUGGCGGCGUGCUUAACACAUGCAAGUCGAGCGGUAACGCGGGAGCAAUCCUGGCGACGAGCGGCGAACGGGUGAGUAAUGCUUGGGAAUCUGCCCAUUAGUGGGGAACAACCAGCCGAAAGGUUGGCUAAUACCGCAUACGCCCUACGGGGGAAAGCGGGGGAUCGAAAGACCUCGCGCUAAUGGAUGAGCCCAAGUCGGAUUAGCUUGUUGGUAGGGUAACGGCCUACCAAGGCGACAAUCCGUAGCUGGUCUGAGAGGACGACCAGCCACACUGGGACUGAGACACGGCCCAGACUCCUACGGGAGGCAGCAGUGGGGGAAUAUUGGACAAUGGGGGCAACCCUGAUCCAGCGACGCCGCGUGUGUGAAGAAGGCCUGCGGGUUGUAAAGCACUUUUAGUGGGAUGAAAAGCUCAGGGUUAACACCUCUGGGUCUUGACCUAACCCACAGAAAAGCACCGGCUAACUCUGUGCCAGCAGCCGCGGUAA
rnacentral:rRNA from 1 species